AGUUAACGUGUUUAAUUUUUGAAGUUUCUUUGGCUUUUUUGGUGGGUGAAAUCAAUAUAAAAAGUCCUUUCUUCUUUUAAAAUUACUAGGGACUAAAAAACUUUGAUUUAAAACCAGGAUUAGAUACCCUGUUAUUCUCAGUUAUUCUUAGAUAGGGUAGUAAAAGUUGUUCUUCAAACCCAAAGAUUUUGGCGGCAUUUUAUCCCAAUAGAGGAGCUUGCCCCGUAAUCGAUAGUCCUCGUUUUAUCUUUCCCUCAUUUGUGAAGCUUGUAUACCGCCGUUGUCAGAUUACUUUUGGAGAAUGUUUUCAAGUUAGAAGAUUUUUUAACUUCAGGUCAAGGUGCAGUUUAUGUGAGGGUGGAGGUGAGCUACAGUUUCUACUAGGAAUUACGAAUUCUAAAUCUCGAAGUUAGUUGAAGGUGGAUUUAUUAGUAAAGUAAUUUAAGUAAA
rnacentral:rRNA from 1 species